UUAUGCCUGUUGUUCACACGCCUAUCUGCCCUCUCAGUGGCUAGAAUGGUCCCCCCUGAUCUCACUUGCCUACGCUCAAUUGUGGACAUGUAUUUCCAUUGUUAGAGCGGUCACUCGGCUAUCUUGUCAAUAUAAUAGAUAAUCUUUGGCGUUGUGCAGUUGUAGACUACGGAAACUGAGAGAAGCUCAAAUUUAGAGAGCCAUGAAAAAUCCACGUUUUUUGAGUCCGGGGAACAGUAGGUUAACUGCCAUGCUCAGGGGCAGAACGAUAGAUUUUUACCUCGUCAGCUCGGGGAUUCGAUCCCGCAACUUUUCGGUUACUGGCCCAACGCUACGUGACCGCAUUGUAUUGAGCCUUCUGUGGCAAAAUUAUUAUAUAAAUCAUAUUUGAUUGACUUUACAUAGUAGAAGUCAUGUGAAUGAGAGCCUCAUUAGCAUUAGCACAAAGACAAUGGGUUUGUCGACGUUGCAGCCGACAGUGCAGGCGACUGCCGACUGACUGAGCUACAAAUCACCAUGCAUCUUUAAUAACUACUCAUUAUUAUAUGUAGAUCAGUCAGGCAGUCACCAUUUACUCAUAAUGCAUCAUGGAUUUGAUGCUCUCGAACACGGCCAAUAUCAGUAUACAUACAGGUGAAAACAAGACCAGGUUAUGUUGUUGUGGGGACCAAAAUAUUACAAAAUUGGUACACAUUCAGUGAACAUAAUGUACGGUCUUUAAUUCAGUGCUUUAAAAAAAACGUAUUACAUAGUAAAGUUUGAUAGUUUCUCUUGGUCAACAUGUAUGCAUUUCAUCAUCAACAACACCAGUGUCACACCCCCGUUUUUAUUGGGCGCUCAGCAAUAUUUAGGCAGUAGGAAUGUUCAUCCCUUAAUAAAGGCCUGGACAAUAGGGGGCCUCUGCCGUAACUGUUGCUGGCGGGCUGGUCAGGUGCAAUGCCGUCAAAACAUCAGCUUUACCCAACACAGGGUCACAUUAUUUCACAGACAAACAGAUGCGACCUCCACUAUAUGACAACGCCACUCCAUCCACAGGGACUAAACCAACAGCAGACCUUGAGCAAGAGGCACAUCGCAGAUAAUACAGUAGCAAAGGAGACAUCAUAGAGAUUAUAGUGUACUUUUGGAGCUGUAUUCAGUAAUUGGACCUGUAGCAACUAUUGUUAUCAGUUGAAUUGGAUCUCUUUUGGUCAGACCACAUGAACAUGAUUGGGAAAACUCUUUUGCUAGUCUGCCUGGCUGUCUUCUUUUCUGCAGUAGACGCAGCAGACCAGUCCAGACUCUACAGGAGGCCAUCUUGUGGGGAUAUGAGCCAAUCCCAGGCAUGCCCGCUCAACUACUCCCCAGUGUGCGGUAAUGAUGGAAACACUUAUCCCA